rnacentral:rRNA from 1 species
GGAUGAACGCUGGCGGCGUGCCUAAUCCAUGCACGUCGAGCGAACGGCCGAGAAGCUUGCUUCUCUGAUGUUAGCGGCGGACGGGUGAGUAACACGUGGAUAACCUACCUAUAUGACUGGGAUAACUUCGGGAAACCGGAGCUAAUACCGGAUAAUAUUUUGAACCGCAUGGUUCAAAAGUGAAAGACGGUCUUGCUGUCACUUAUAGAUGUAUCCGCGCUGCAUUAGCUAGUUGGUAAGGUAACGGCUUACCAAGGCAACGAUGCAUAGCCGACCUGAGAGGGUGAUCGGCCACACUGGAACUGAGACACGGUCCAGACUCCUACGGGAGGCAGCAGUAGGGAAUCUUCCGCAAUGGGCGAAAGCCUGACGGAGCAACGCCGCGUGAGUGAUGAAGGUCUUCGGAUCGUAAAACUCUGUUAUUAGGGAAGAACAUAUGUGUAAGUAACUGUGCACAUCUUGACGGUACCUAAUCAGAAAGCCACGGCUAACUACGUG